rnacentral:rRNA from 1 species
UACGAAGGGGGCUAGCGUUGCUCGGAAUCACUGGGCGUAAAGGGUGCGUAGGCGGGUCUUUAAGUCCGGGGUGAAAUCCUGGAGCUCAACUCCAGAACUGCCUUUGAUACUGAGGAUCUUGAGUUCGGGAGAGGUGAGUGGAACUGCGAGUGUAGAGGUGAAAUCCGUAGAUAUUCGCAAGAACACCAGUGGCGAAGGCGGCUCACUGGCCCGAUACUGACGCUGAGGCACGAAAGCGUGGGGAGCAAACAGG